rnacentral:lncRNA from 1 species
GGAAAUGUCAUAACAACAGAGGCUCCAUCAGGGCUUACUGGUAGCCCACUACUGGAAAUCACAUGUCCCAAAUAUUUAACUUGAGAGAGAGAAAAUUGCAAUUUAUCUCUGGACAAUCUUUGUCCCUUAAAGCAAGCUGUUGUGACAAGUGGACAAUGUCUUCUCUGCCUGUUGUCAAGGAGGAUGAAAGUGACAAAUCAUCCACAUAUUGACCAGGAUAGUUCUGCUAGAAAAUUUGAUAUCAUGUAAAUGUCUUUUUAAUAUUUGAGAAAAGUAAGUAGGACACUUGGAAUAUCCUGAAGCAAGAUUGUCCAUGUGUACUGGUGAUUUUCUCAAGCAAAGGCAAAAAGAUAUUGGCUGUUCUGCUCUACAGGUCUGGAGGCAGGUGAUUGGAUCAUGGGGAUGGAUUUCUCAGGAAUGGUCUAGCAUCAUCUCCCUGGUGCUGUCCUUGUGAUGGCGCAUCAGUGGAAGGGACUUGCCUUGUCUCAGAAGAAACUGCACUUUCGAGUGAUGCCGAAACAGGUUGAGACUUUUGGGGGACUAUUGAGAAGGGAUGAUUGUAUUUUGCAAUGUGAGAAGGACAUGAGAUUUGAAGGGCCAGGGAUGGAAUGAAAUAGUUUGGAUGUUGUACCCUUUAAGUCACAUGUUGAAUUGUAAUUCCCAGUGUUGGAGUUGGGGUCUGGUGGGAGGUGAUGGGGUCAUGAGGGCUGAUUUCUCAUGUUUAGUACCAUCCUCUUGGCACUGUCCUUGCAAGAGUGAGUGAGUUCUCAUGACAUCUGGCUGUUUAAAAGUGUGUGGCACCUCUCCCUGCUUGCUCCUGCUCUGGCCAUGUGACAUACCUUCUUUUGCUUCACCUUCUGCCAUGUGUAAAACCUCCCUGAGGACCCUUCUUGAAGCCAAGCAACUGCCAAUGCAAAGCUUCCUGUACAGCCUGCAGAACUGUGAGCCAAGUCAACCUUUCUUUUCUGUAUAAAUUAUGUAGUGCUUAGGUAUUCCUCUAUAGUAAUGCAAGAAUGUCAUAAUACAAGGCAUAAUGGCUUGCAUUUUAAAAAUGAAAAUUAGAUUUAUGUAAUUUAUCAUGAAAAGAUGAAAUGAGUUAAUAAUGAGCAAUAUCUACAUGUUGUCUUAGAGGUGCUGACAAUCUGUCAAGGAAUUACAUGCAUUAAUCAAGCAGUUUACCUUCAAGUUGAAUAACAAGAUAUUCCUAUCUAACAUAACAAAAUUUUGACAUUAUUUGGGAGACUGGAAAUAAUGCUACAUAAUAUCAGAUUGUCAAAGCCAAAUAAAUGUAGAGACAAACAUCUGAAAUUAAAAUGUUUUAUUUGAGAUACAAGUAUUACAAUUUGACAGAUACAUGCAGAAUGGGUGUCUUUAGUAUGUCCGAAACAUAAAGAGAAAGUUAGAGGUUUUAUAAAAAGGGAGACAGAGAGAAAAACGGUAUGUAUUUCUCUUUGAGAAAGUUCACUGGCACCAGUAAGGUUUUUGAGAGCUGGCAGGCUCUGAUAGGUGAGGGACAGUGGUGGGUAAAACUAGUCUUAGUGUUGCAAGAGGUUGUUUCAGUAACCAUUCGAUAAAACUGGUUUCAGCUUAAAGCAGGUAAUUUCAGCAGCCAGGCAUGCAGAGAAUUACGUGCUUGGAGUGGUGUUUUUGCCCUGAAUGCCUCCUCCCCCUGGCUUCUUGAUGGUUUUAUUUGGUGUGACAAGAAUGACCCAAUUCAUAUGAUCAAUUUUUACAUUUACCCCUUUCCAUCAAGAUCUUUCUCUUAAAGCAUCAACCAUGUUUAUAGUUGUACAACGACUACAAGUUAGGCUUAAUCAUCCCUUAGUGCUAGGAUGGACCUGUCCCAGUUGCUCCGUCCCACAUCUGGGAAAGGUAUGGAGGUCUACAUCAGGUCUAUGUCAAGAUUUAUGGCUUAAAACAUCUAUCCGAGGAAAAAAAUAAAACUGACCAGUAAUCCCAGGAGAGAAACAUACCUUGGCAAAUUCGAAGAUAUUUCUAAUUUUAUUUAACAAAUUUAAACUUAAUUAAUGUAUCAAAGAUUCGCCUAACUCAUGUCAAACAAAAUAUGUUUGGGUUAAUUAAUAUAUAUUUUAUAUGAGCAUUCUUUUAUUCAAACCAUCCUUUUUUCCUAGAAUGAUGGAUUAGGGGCUUUCGGUGUGCCUCAGCCACUUGGAAGUAGAAAAAUAAGCAUAAAGAUAAACUUUGUGAGCUUCAAUUCAAGAAGAAAAAUAGGAAUUCACAGGAAUAGAGAAGAACACUCCAGACCCUGUGGAGGGGGAGGUGGGAAAGCAGCCUCUGCGAUAGCAUUUUGUUCAUAAAAGGGAGUGAAACUGCAGUACGAGAGAAGAACAUCCAGUCUCCCUCUGUGACUCACCUUUCCACUGGGGAUCUGUGCAACCCAGAUUAAGGGAGAGCAGUCUGUUUCUCCCAAGAAAGCACUUAUGUGCUUAGAGCUGGCACAAAAGUGGCUGAGAGAUGGGGAAAGAGGAAAGACACUCAGAAAAGCUGCAGGCAUUUCCGCAGACCUGGGACUGAGAGAAGGAUGCCAUUUUUAAUCUGGGCUCGUACAAAGUCAAUCAUUCUUUGGUGCCUGGCAAUGGUGGCCACUGCAGACACUUUAAUCUUGGGCUAGGAAUUGAAGUGCUUGCUCUGGAGCAGGGGAGCAGCCUCCACAGCCAGAAUUGAGUGUUGAGUGUGGAAAGUGCCCCAGCAGUAGGUGUUGGAAUUAGGCUCUCUCCUCUUGCAGGACUGUAGUGGGAAGAGAGUUGCUAAAGCAGAGGUUUCUCAGGGAUGGUGAGACUUGCAGCCAAGAACAGUUUCGCAACCUGGGACUGGUCUGUGUGUGUCAUUGCUGGGUGUCCCAGCCUGCUCCCUUGGUCAGUUGAGAGAGUACCUCAUCAGCUCCAAGAAACAGGAGGGAGGUGAACCCGUUUCCCCAGGAGACCUAAACUUUGGUGAGGACCAGUCCUAAGGGAAGGAGGAAUACAGCUUGCCGAACACAGCCCUUGAGUCAAAGGAAACAUGAUCAUGACAUCAGCUGCUGAAAGGGGCACACCAAAGCCUGGGAACAGAUGUAGAGAGGUGGUCAUCUCUUGCCCUCUGUCACCUUCCUAGUGCACUGCUGCAGACCCAGCAGUGGUCAUCCUGUUGGGGCCCAAGGAACGUGGGCUGAAAGAGGCUGCUUCUUAGGUUUCUCCAGCAGCUCUGCCCCUGCUGAAGACUAGUACACAUGGGGACAGGGUGCUUUUGGCACUUUGUCACUUCUGCACCUGUCGAGGACAAGUACACAGAGGAGAAGACCCUGCAGCCAGCUGUUACUCUUAAGCACUGUCUACUGGACUGAAGCCUGAAUUACACCACCAAACAAAGAUACAUCACCACACCAAGCCACCACAGGAGCCUAUCUACAACCAAGGAACUUGUACAGAGCAUUGGUCCUCUGAAAGUACCCAGAAAUGAAGCAAAUUGAUCCUAUACAACAUACACCACAGUCACACCCUUAAGAGAAAGACAGAAUGAAAAAUUAAAAAAAAAAAAACUCCUUCCAAAUGAUAUCAAAUUCAACAAAAGAAGCAUCAAGUCUCUCAGAUGAGAAGAAACCAGCACAAGCACUCUGGCAAUACAAAAAGCCAGAAUUUUCCAUCACCUCCAAAGGAUUACACCAGCAAACUAGCAAUGAGUCCUAACCAGAAUGAAAUGUCUGAAAUGACUUGUAUAGUAUUCAGGAUAUAAGUGGCAAAAAAAUUCACCAAAAUCCAACAGAAAGUUGGAAUCCAACAACAACCCCAUAACAACGAUCCUGGAUUUGAAUGACAAGAUAGCUAUAUUGAAAAAGAACCAAGCAGAGCUUCUUGAAUUGAAAAAUUUACUAUAGGAAUUUCAAAAAGAGUUGGCAGCCUUAGCAACAGACUAGGCCAAAUAGAAGAACUAAUUUAAGAGCUCAAAGACCAGACCUUUGAAUCAACCCAGUCAGACAAAAAUAAAAAAGGAAUUUAAAAAUAAUGAACCACACUUUUGAGAAAUAUAGGAUUAUGUAAAGGAACAAAAUCUAUGACUUACUAUUGGCAUUUUUUUUUGAGACAGAAUCUCACACUGUUACCCAGUCUGUAGUGAAGUGGCAUGAUCUUGGCUCACUGAAACCUCCACCUCCUGGGUUCAAGCAAUUCUUGUGCCUCAGCCUCCCAAGUAUCUGAGAUUACAGGCGUAUGCCACCAUGCCUGGCUAAUUUUUGUAUUUUUAGUAGAGAUGAGGUUUUGCCAUGCUGGCCAGGUAGGUCUCAAACUUCUGGUCUCGGGUGAUACUCCCACUUUGGCCUCCCAAAGUGCUGGGAUGACUGGCAUGAGCCACUGUGCCUGGCUGACUUAUUGGCAUUUCUAACAGAGAAGAAGUGAAAGUAAGCAACUUGGAAAACAUUUUUGAGGAUAUAAUUCAGGAAAGUGUCCUCAAUCUUGCUAGAGAGUUCCACCAGCUGAUACAAGAAAUCCAGAGAACUCCCGUGAGACUGAAGGUAGGCAGUGAAGCAAAUGUUUGCAUUCUUGUGUGGCUCUGAUUAGCAUCAGGAUAUCUACAUUUUACAUGGGAAAGGAGGGAGCAGAGGAAACAGUUAAUUAUGCGUUCAUCUCACAUUCAGUAAAUCUUCAUUUUACAUAAGAUAAAGUAAGCAUGUGAAUAGAGGGAGUGGAGUAGAGGAAAAGCCAACGAUUCAUUCAUCUCAGGACAGGCAGAGGGAUGAUUUCUGGUCCUGACCUUGUCCCAGAACUAUGAAAAUAACCUGGUAAUUGAGACCGUCAGGGUGAAAUUGAGCCCACUCACUUUUAGGGCUAGUUUAUAGGUGGGAUGUGCAUUCUGAAAGAUUUAGGGGCUCACAGCAAAUUGUGAGGGAGGACAUCUGAGGAGACAUGCAGCCUUCUGUCACUGUGGGAACCUGGCUUAUGGAUGAGGCUAUGACACAGGGUUGUGAAGUUAUAGCUAUGUGUUUGAGAACAAGGAAGGCAGUAUUGCGUAACUCAGUUCCCAAGCUUAAUUUUCCCUUUGACACAGUGAGCUUGGGGUUGGGGUCUCUAUUCUCUUUUCUCUCACAAAAUCAUAUGGGAACAUUCCAGAAGAUGUGAGGUUCUGCGCUCACUAUUAAAUAAGAAUGACCAGGAGAGCCAUGGGUAAGCUCCCUCCUCAGUCAUCAGGACCGCAACAGAGAGUUUUCCCCUGUGUGGACAGGGUUCUGAAUUCUGCAGGAUCCCGUGGGGACACAAGUGUCAGGAUAGAGGCACUUCUUCAGCCAGGUACAGUGUCUCAUGCCUGUAAUGUCAGCUACACUGGAGGCUGAGGUCACCUUGAGGCCAGGAUUUCAAGACCAACCUGGGCAACAUAGCAAGAUCCCAUAUCUAAAAAUAAAAUUAGCCGGGUGUGAUGGCAUGCACCUGUAAUCCUAGUUACUUGGGAGGGAGGCUGAGGUGGGAGGAUUGCUUGAGCCUAGGCGUUGGAGACUACAACGAUCUAGGAUUACACCACUGCACUCCAGUCUCAGCAACAGUAAGACUCCGUAUGUAACAACAACCAACCAAUUCUGCGUUUUGAGUGUAAAUUACCAUAGCCUUUGUAACAGAAAUUAGGCAGCAACUCUCGUCAUUCAAAAUGCAUAAGCAAUUUGGCUAAGCAAUUGUACUUCUAGAUUAUUUAUUUAUUUAUUUAUUUAUUUAUUUAUUUAUUUAUUAUUGGGACAGAGUGAGACUCUGUCCCCCAGACUGGAGUCCAGUGACAUGAUCUCAGCUCACUGCAACCUCCGCCUCGUGGGUUCAGGCAAUUGCCCUACCUCAGCCUCCCGAGUAGCUGGGGCUACAAGUGCGCAUCACCAUACCCAGCUAAUUUUUGUAUUUUUUGUAGAAACGGGGUUUUGCCAUGUUGGCCAGGCUGGUCUCAAACUUCUGACCUCAGGUGAUCCACCCACCUCGACCUCCCAAAGUGCUGGGAUUACAGGCACUAGGUCCCUAAAUUAGAGCCAUAUUCUUUAAUGUCUGAAAGCACUCUUGCAUGUUUAUUACUGCAUUGUUUGAACUUAAAUGUCCACAACAGGAUAACAGGAUAAUUAAACAGUUAAUUGCACUAUGGCACAUCCAUCUGUUAACAAAAUGAAAUCGAUCUUUUUGUACUGUGGUGUAAAGAUUUUCUGGACAUAGUUCAGGUAAAAAAAAAAAAAAAGACCACUGUUGAAUAAUGCUUCCGGUAUAACACAAUGUGUUUGAAAAUGUACACAAUACACUGUAAUAUCCAACACAUACACCUAUCAAAGUAAAUAUAUUUUAUUCUAGGGUAAUUAUUAAAACAUUAAGAAAUACUCUUUAAUCAUAUAUGUUUAAACUUGUAG